GGUUCUUCGGUUUUGUUUGAAAGAAGAAGAAAAAAAC
rnacentral:sRNA from 1 species